UGGCACCUCGAUGUCGGCUCAUCACAUCCUGGGGCUGAAGUCGGUCCCAAGGGUAUGGCUGUUCGCCAUUUAAAGUGGUACGCGAGCUGGGUUUAGAACGUCGUGAGACAGUUCGGUCCCUAUCUGCCGUGGGCGUUGGAGAAUUGAGGGGGGCUGCUCCUAGUACGAGAGGACCGGAGUGGACGAUCCGCUGGUGUUCCAGUUGUCAUGCCAAUGGCAUUGCUGGGUAGCUACGAUCGGGAAGGAUAACCGCUGAAAGCAUCUAAGCGGGAAACCUGCCCCAAGAUAAGUUCUCCCUAGACUUUAAGUCUUCUGAAGGGCCGUUAAAGACGAUGACGUUGAUAGGCAAGGUGUGGAAGUUCAGUAAUGGAUGAAGCUAACUUGUACUAAUUACCCGUGAGGCUUAACUAUACAACUCAAAAG
rnacentral:rRNA from 1 species